AGUUAUAAUUAAACACAUGCAGGAAAAUAUAGAAAAACCUUGAUAAUAUUACGUUUACUGCUCGCGGCAGGAAUCGCUGCACCAGUAGCUGACGUCCGACAUCGACCGCGUCUCCACUUUCAUCUUUUGGGGAUUUUAGACAGGUUAUACGUUUUUCAGCAAUUUCUCAUAUUUUCCAAAAAGCCAUUCUUAUAGCCACAAUGAAGUUCAGGC